rnacentral:rRNA from 1 species
AUUGAACGCUGGCGGCAGGCCUAACACAUGCAAGUCGAACGAGUGGCGGACGGGUGAGUAAUGUCUGGGAAACUGCCUGAUGGAGGGGGAUAACUACUGGCAACGGUAGCUAAUACCGCAUACCAUCGGAUGUGCCCAGCUGGUAUUAGCUAGUAGGUGGGGUAAAGGCUCACUUAGGCGACGAUCCCUAGCUGGUCUGCGAGGAUGACCAGCAACACUGGAACUGAGACACGGGCCAGACUCCUACGGGAGGCAGAAGUGGGGAUUAUUGCACAAGGGGCGAAAGCCUGAUGCAGCCAUGCCGCGUGUAUGAAGAAGGCCUUCGGGUUGUAAAGUACUUUCAGCGGGGAGGCGUUACCGACAGAAGAAGCACCGGCUAACUCCGUGCCAGCAGCCGCGGUAAUAC